rnacentral:rRNA from 1 species
ACGACGCUGGCGGCGUGCUUAACACAUGCAAGUCGAACGGGGCGAAGAGGAGCUUGCUCUUCCUAGCCUAGUGGCAAACGGGUGAGUAACGCGUAGGCAACCUGCCCUUCAGAUGGGGACAACAUUUCGAAAGGAAUGCUAAUACCGAAUGACGUGCAUUGGUCGCAUGACCGAUGUACCAAAGGCUGGGCAACCGGUCACUGAAGGAUGGGCCUGCGUCUGAUUAGCUAGUUGGUGGGGUAACGGCUCACCAAGGCGACGAUCAGUAGCCGGUCUGAGAGGAUGAACGGCCACAUUGGGACUGAGACACGGCCCAAACUCCUACGGGAGGCAGCAGUGGGGAAUCUUCCGCAAUGGGCGCAAGCCUGACGGAGCAACGCCGCGUGAGUGAAGAAGGUUUUCGGAUCGUAAAGCUCUGUUGUCAGGGACGAGAGACUUGAUUAGGAAAUGGGUCAAGGAGGACGGUACCUGACGAGAAAGCCACGGCUAACUACGUGCCAGCCGCCGC